UGGGGGAUAUUGCACAAUGGGCGAAAGCCUGAUGCAGCGACGCCGCGUGGGGGAUGAAGGCCUUCGGGUUGUAAACUUCUUUUGCUCUGAACAAGGCAUGCUAAUGGGUGUGUUGAGUGUAGGGGUUGAUUAGCGCCGGCUAACUACGUGCCAGCAGCCGCGGUAAUACGUAGGGCGCGAGCGCUGUCCGGAAUUAUUGGGCGUAAAGGGCUUGUAGGUGGCUGGUUGCGUCUGUCGUGAAAGCUCAUGGCUUAACUGUGGGUUUGCGGUGGGUACGGGCUGGCUUGAGUGCAGUAGGGGAGGCUGGAAUUCCUGGUGUAGCGGUGGAAUGCGCAGAUAUCAGGAGGAAUACCGGUGGCGAAGGCGGGUCUCUGGGCUGUUACUGACACUGAGGAGCGAAAGCAUGGGGAGCGAACAGG
rnacentral:rRNA from 1 species